GGCGAACGGGUGAGUAACACGUGGGCAACCUUUCCUAUCGCGGGGGAUAACAGCGGGAAACCGCUGCUAAUACCGCAUGUCGUCACCGCAUGGAAAGCAGCACGAUGGGGUGGGCCCGCGGCCUAUCAGCUAGUCGGUGGGGUAACGGCCUACCGAGGCGAUGACGGGUAGCUGGUCUGAGAGGACGACCAGCCACACGGGGACUGAGACACGGUCCCGACUCCUACGGGAGGCAGCAGUGAGGAAUCUUCCGCAAUGGGCGAAAGCCUGACGGAGCGACGCCGCGUGUGGGAUGAAGUCCUUCGGGAUGUAAACCACUGUCGGAGGGGAAGAGGGACGGUACCCUCCAAGAAAGCCCCGGCUAACUACGUGCCAGCAGCCGCGGUAAUACGUAGGGGGCUAGCGUUAUCCAGAUUUACUGGGCGUAAGGCGCGUGUAGGCGGCUGGUUAGGUGUGAUGUGAAAUCUUCCGGCUCAACCGGAAAACUGCAUUGCAAAC
rnacentral:rRNA from 1 species